rnacentral:lncRNA from 1 species
UGAGGAGAAAAGAAUCAAAGAAAAGAGAGAGAAAAGAAAGAAAAAAGCCUAACAGAUGGAGGAAGAGAGAAGAUAGAGCGGCUGUGCAAGUAGGUUGUGUAAUAGGAGUAAUGAAAUUUCAAUUUUAGGGUUAUAACUUUUAUUUGGGCUUUUGGGUCAACAAAACUAGGUAAAUUAAUAGCCCAAAGUAUUAUAAAAAGACUACUUUUCUUUUUAACCAAAUAAAAAAAAUCAAGUAUAUUUAACAUACAAUUUUUUUUUUGUAAGAUAUACAAUUAUUAUUUAUUCUUUUAAAACCUAUAAACAUAAUUUAUUUGUAUAUGACAUUCUUUAUAUAAAAAUUUAUUUAUUAUUAUUAGUGGUAUAUGUCCUUGUUUUAUAGAAUUUAUGGCAUUCUUUU